rnacentral:rRNA from 1 species
CAGCAGCCACGGUAAUACGAAGGGGGCUAGCGUUGCUCGGAAUGACUGGGCGUAAAGGGCGCGUAGGCGGAUUGUUUAGUUAGGCGUGAAAUUCCUGGGCUUAACCUGGGGACUGCGCUUAAUACAGGCAGUCUAGAGUGAGGAAGAGGGUUGUGGAAUUCCCAGUGUAGAGGUGAAAUUCGUAGAUAUUGGGAAGAACACCGGUGGCGAAGGCGGCAACCUGGUCCUUGACUGACGCUGAGGCGCGAAAGCGUGGGGAGCAAACAGGAUUAGAUACCCCCGUAGUCCCUGUCUCUUAUAC